GCAGAUGGAUCCACUUUUUGGCACACGACCCCAACCCCGCCCUACCGGAAGUUGUCAUGCAAAGGAAACCUCUUUAGCCACGCCUAAAGUUCAGCACCCUAGACGCGGACAGCGACACCGCCCAGUUUAGUCUCAUGACUUGCUGCAGAGGUUUUCACCUGACAAAGGAACUGGCCAAUCCCAACUGGUUCAAAGGGCCGUGUGACUGACUAAGUUACAAUGCCAGAUAUGGAGGGGGAUCAGAAAACAUGAUGUGGAAUGAAAUGGGCACCAUUCCAGCCUCACAAAACUUGGAUCCUAACAGUCUCAGUUCACAGAAUCUCUGCAGAUUCAAUCUGGCAUCAAAUAACAGCCCAUUCUUCUCUGCCACCAUGGCCACUGGGAGCUGAUGAGGACAAAGAUACAGUACCUUAGCUACAGAGAAGAAGAAAGAAGUGCUUUCAGCUUCUCCAUGUAUGCAAGUGAAAAAUGAAACUGCCCAAAAGUGUCAAAGGGGAUCUCGGAGCCACCGCUGACUUGAGACCAGGGUGUUUCUACCUCCAAGUUGGAAAGAACGUUCACAUCUUCAUUUCCAGGCCUUAGCUAAUAAGUGAGACACAAAAAGUGCUCCUCCCCGAAGAGACCUCACUUAUGCCAGAGAGAACAGCCAGAGGCAGAUGCCAAAUUUAAGGGUCGCUCUGAAGACUGAAGGGUAGAAGUCUAGAAGAAAGGCAGUUGGCCCACUGUGCUCCACUGUUUCUAAGCUCCUGAUUCAGCAAACCUCUCGGGACACAGACCUAAUGCAUCCUCCUACUGAAACAUCAAGUCUGCAUUUAUUAUGUCAAAAAUCUGUUCUACAGUGCACAUCUCUGCCAGCAGACUGGACCUGUCCCAUGGCCCCUCUGCCCUAUCAUUCCAAAUUUAUGCAAAGAAAGUUACUGAAUGCUCCUACGUUUCUGAUGUAAGCUCAGCCUGCAGAAAACCACCUCUCCGUCCUACAGGCAUUUCCAGGCUAGACCUAGCACUGUCUGUUCGAGCUCCUGCUCCCAAACAUUGCACUACCUACCUACGUUCCAGAACCAGUCCACGAGACCUCCAACUGGGCUCUAAGCUAACUGUGCCAUUUUGAAAGGUGUGAAAGGAAGACUGAAGCUUCCAGACUCCCUGGCUCCCAGAAAAUUGGCCGUAUGCCUGAGGAAGACAAAGAGCAAAGUGAUCUGGAAAGCUCCCGCAGUUGAGAAGAAAUGUGUAUUUCAUCUGGAUAAUGAAUGCUGUUAGCCUUAGAGAAUGGAAUAAACCUAAGGACUCGGGAGUGUAAUUCUUUCUUGAAAGGCCAAUAUAUAUCAAUAAUUUAGGGAGGAAGACCUUUCAAAGCUGUGAUCCAGAUGAUUUUGUAACUGAGAGAUUAACACAUGAAUGGCUACCCUGAUUCCGUGGCUGUCUCAGAGUCAUUAUUGAUAAACAAUUUAUUUUUCUUAAAAUGAAAUCUGUUCCGCAGAUGUCUACUUCUCAGCUAGGAUAUAACAACCUUGAAGAAAAUCACACUGCUUUCUGUGCAAUAUUCAACCAGAUGAUAUUAACAUAGCAUGGGCCUAAGCAAGUAUUUGAACUGUCUUCCAGGCUCCCUCUUUCAUACGUGCACCUCAAUCUGUGACUGGAUGAAGAAAAGUCUUUGGGUGAAAUGGAGCUCCCAAGAAAUGAUUUGGGGCAAGUAAA